rnacentral:rRNA from 1 species
CGACCGGCGCACGGGUGAGUAACGCGUAUGCAACUUACCUAUCAGGAGGGGGAUAACCCGGCGAAAGUCGGACUAAUACCGCAUGAAGCAGGGGCCCCGCAUGGGGAUAUUUGCUAAAGAUUCAUCGCUGAUAGAUAGGCAUGCGUUCCAUUAGGCAGUUGGCGGGGUAACGGCCCACCAAACCGACGAUGGAUAGGGGUUCUGAGAGGAAGGUCCCCCACAUUGGUACUGAGACACGGACCAGACUCCUACGGGAGGCAGCAG